AGAUAACUCCACGCAUUACCCGGUUCUGUCAAAUUCAUGCUUCGUUCCUCUGAGCAGCGCUUCGAUGGAAGUAUUUUGGACCUUUCAUCCUCCGUGAAGGAGCUGGUUGAAAAUAGCUUGGACGCUGGAGCCACUAGCAUUGAAAUCUUUUUGAAAGAGUACGGCGAGGAGUGGUUCCAGGUCAUCGACAAUGGAUGUGGCAUUUCCCCCAACAAUUUCAAGGUUCUUGCACUUAAGCAUCAUACUUCUAAAUUGGCAAAUUUUCCGGAUCUUCAAUCUCUGGCCACAUUUGGUUUUAGAGGGGAGGCAUUGAGUUCACUUUGUGCAUUAGGAGAUCUGACUGUGGAAACAAGAACCAAAAAUGAGUCAGUAGCAACACACUUGAUUUUUGAUCAUUCUGGUCUACUAACAACUGUCACAGUUAAGAAGUUCUCCAAUUUACCCGUGCGAAGCAAAGAAUUUAGCCGCAACAUUCGCAAGGAAUAUGGAAAGCUUAUUUCUUUGUUGAAUGUGAGUCAUUCUUCUUUGUGAUGUAACUUCAAUUAGUUCAAUGUUAUUUCAUUGAGUUGUGGUUGUAAUGGCACUAUAUAGUUGCAACAGUUGUUGUGGGAUUGAGCAUUCCUUUGACAAUGGCAACAGGCCAUGGUGGUAGGAUUCGUGUUUCUGAUAUUGAUUUUACUUAUUUCUAGGAUGUAUGAUGCACCUGCAAUUCUGGAUCAAGGUGGCAGAUCUGUGGAUAAUAUCUUGUUAAGCUUUGUGUCAUAGUUCCCUCCAUGCAAACAUCCACAUUAUGUGGAGAGUAUGCCUUUUGACAUCACGGUUGGAUACUAUUGUAUUGUUAUUUUCCUUGGUGUUCUAGUUUCAUAUGCAUUAUUUUAGUGUCAUCUUUUUUCUGCAUUGAUGCAUUCAGUGUACCUUCUUGCCUAUGUCUUGUACCUUGAAAAAGUUGAGUAGUUUGCUUUGUUGUCGUGUUGGCCAUAAUUUUUCACAUUUCUUUUCUUAUGUCCAGGCCUAUGCACUUAUUGCAAAAGGUGUUCGGUUAGUCUACUCUGAUAUUGUCACGCCUAAACCUCCCUCUUAGAGGUAACAUACUCCAGUAAUAUGUUCAACGGACGCCAUAAACUGUAACAUCCCGUGCGAAAAAGAAAGGUUUCGGCUGGAGCAGUGCUCUGGGAGGGCAAGGCUCGCUGGUGCCCUUGUCCAAAUGGGGGACAGGAAUGAAUCGAAUCACACAUUGAAAUGGGAAAAACUAAUUACUAGAGGCGCCUUUUGGU
rnacentral:misc_RNA from 1 species